ACCACACAUGUUAUUGUACUUGUCUUAAGCAUUUAUUGAGAAAAUGUUUAUAGCAUAUAUUAGCAAAAGUGUAGCUAGAAAUGAAACAUGUAUUAGUAAGAGCUUUGCUAAAGAAAUAUGAAUAAAAUAGGAUGUUACCAUAGAAUGCUGUGUUGCGGACGCAGCGCAGUAGGCAUCAAAGAAGAAAGACCCACAGGAGAAAUAUGUGAGAAUGGAAGGCUUCUUAUAAGAAGUUUCUUAGGGAAUUUCCAGACCUCAUGAUGUCACAAGACAUUGGAAUCCACCUGCUGUCUAUAAGGGACUGAAAUGCAAUGAGGAAAUCAGAUGCUGGUUCUGUUUAACAGCUUCGGUGCCGGCAGCCUUGCCAUUGAUUCCUCUGAACAACCGUGCUUACAAAUUAAAUGCUUUCGUUUUUAUUUCUGUUUUUAUAUUAGUGUUUUGUUUGUAAAGUAUUUAACUUAUAUAAAAUAAAACAAAUUAUAACUAAGAAGCUCGCCUGCCAAAACAUUGAUUUCUAGAAUUGAGCAGAACAGACCACGGAGAAGUCUUUGUGACCUGUUUUAGAGACUUGAGAGUUAUGUGUCUGCUUCCUUCUCAACUGGAAGCUAUGAAAGUCAGCAAGGUCGGAAAUCAGAACGCAGAAGAGCUUCCUCUAGUUUUUGGGUUUUCAGAGCAGGGCUGAAAGAUGGGCCAGCAGACGCAGAUGAUCAUUCAGUGAAAUGUUGGACUCCCAGUGUUGCUGUGGAGAGCUCUGUGGACGCCCAGUAUGUCACGAAGAGGAACAAGAAGACUGAGAUGAUGCAAUGUGAGAUUCUCUUCUGGAUAUCCAAAGGUCAAACUAUAAAAAAUGAGGUGUUCGCUGAACUUGAAAAAUGAAGGCAACAGUUGGCAAGACUUUGUGGAGUUGAAUUCAUCUUAUUUAAGUACAUUUCUUGACAAAAGGUGAACUUGAAAGUUGCAUUACCUUAUGGGAGUUUUAUGCAAAUGUCUCUUUUUAUUUAUAUGGUUGUUGAAUAUUAUGAACCUCUCACUGAACACACACACUACAGUUCAAAUGUUUAGGGUCAGCAGAAGAUUGUUAUAAAGUAGUCUCUUAGCUGCAUUUAUUUGAUAAAAUACUAUCUUUCUAUUUGAAUAUAUUAAAAAAAAAAAAAAAAUUCCUAUGAUGGCAAAGCUGAAUUUUCAGCAUCAUUACUCUAGUCUUCAGUGUCACAUGAUCCUUUUCUGGUCAAGAAACAUAUUAUCAUUGUUGAAAGUAGUUGUGCUGCUUAAUAUUUUUGUGGAAACUGAAAUAUGAUUCAUUUUUUAGGACUCUUUGAUGAAUAAAGUUAGAAAGAACAAUAUAUUUUCUAACA
ensembl:lncRNA